rnacentral:rRNA from 1 species
GCUCACUGGUCAAGUGGUUCCGCGCCGACAAUGUAGCGGGGCUCAAGCACACCGCCGAAGCUGUGGCAUUCACAUUUUAACCAAGCCGAGCCUUUCGGGGUUCUGAGUUCAGGUGUGUGGAUGGGUAGGGGAGCGUCGUGCGACCGGGGAAGCAGCGGGGUGACCCAGCUGUGGAGGUUGCACGAGUGAGAAUGCAGGCAUGAGUAGCGAAUGAAGGGUGAGAAACCCUUCCGCCGGAUGACCAAGGGUUCCAGGGCCAGGCUAAUCCGCCCUGGGUGAGUCGGGGCCUAAGGCGAGGCCGAGAGGCGUAGUCGAUGGAUAACGGGUUGAUAUUCCCGUACCCGCGUAGGAGCGCCCAAGACGAACCUUUUCAUGCUAACUACUUGAGGCGCCGGCGACCUUCGGGUCAAGGGUGUUGAGACUAGGACCCUGAUUGGUAGUAGUUUAGUGAUGGGGUGACGCAGGAAGGUAGCUGGUCCCAGGCGGUGGUUGUCCUGGGGUAAGCGUGUAGCCCGUGCCAUAGGUAAAUCCGUGGUGCAUUUGAGGGUGAGACGUGAUGCCGAGCCGAUUCAGGUGAAGUCAGUGAUCCUAUGCUGCCGAGAAAAGCCUCUAGCGAUGUUCCGAGCGGCCCGUACCCCAAACCGACACAGGUGGUCAGGUAGAGAAUACCGAGGCGACGGGCGAACUGUGGUUAAGGAACUCGGCAAAUUGCCCCCGUAACUUAGGGAGAAGGGGGGCCGGACGCGUGAAGCCCCGUGCGGGUGGAGCGUGGUAUGGCCGCAGAGAGCAGGGGGAAGCGACUGUUUACUAAAAACACAGUCCAUGCCAAGUCGUAAGA